ensembl:lncRNA
AUGUCUUAAAUAGACUACAUAACGUUUUAACAAUAUGUUAUUAAAUAUUGUAAUUACCUUCCAUUGGCAGUUUUAUUAACUAAUGAAUUAACUAAUGAAGCCCUAAUGUAAAGUGUGACCGAACAAUAACGUCUGACGUUUUUACGUUUUUCGUGGCGUGGUCGAUUUGGGAUCAGAAUCGGACUCAAACAUAUUUGAAUGGACCCAAAAAUAAAUAAAAAGUGCCAGGAGGGUUAAUAUAAAAAGCAGAAUAAGGGUACUUGGUAUAAAAAUACUUUGUUGAGGUCACGUUUACAAUGAUUUCCUAUUCAAAGCAUCUUUAAUACUGUUUAUGUACUGCCUUACUUCAGUCAACAAAACUACAGUUUUUAAAAGGUUUGUAUUUAAAGGCUAGCAUUUAUGAAUGUGAAAUUUGGUUUAAAAAUGUAAAUGAAUUCAUUUGAAAAAAGUUAUAUCCCAUAGAAGUACUAUAAGAGAGAAUCAAAAUGUAAAUGGAUUGUUGCAUUUUGACACUUUUUUUAAAAAAAACACACAGUAUGUGUAAAUCCAGGAGUAUGAUAGUUUGUCUGAGAUGUUUGAAUCUAAUGAAGUUGUGUUUUAUUUUACAGCUCAGAGAAACAGUGAACCGACAGCAAGCUCAGAUUCAGAUGUUACAGAAACAGUGCAACGAUCAGCAGAAGGAGAACGAGAGACUGUGGAGAGCCAUUCAGAGCCUCAGAGCAGAUGCUGGACUCGUGGACGCCGGUCAGAAGCAGGGUUCUGCUCCUCAGGAGUGAGAGAUCAGUGCACCCUGUCAUUAGUGCUUACAGUGAGUGUGUCCAGUGCUCAGUCCAGACCGAUCGACGGGGUUUCGCCAAAAUCACUAGUGCCUUUUCAUAACCGAAGACUGUGUGAGUUCUGUCAUGCUGCUAAGGUCAAGCCAAAGCGCUCCGCAUCUUCUAGUGCUGUGUGUGUGGACAUUUAUCCGGGAACAACAUUGAAUGACAUCAGUUUAAUCGUGAGACAAUCCCUCCAGAAUGAAUGUCUAAUGCAGCGGAUGCGUUUCAGUCAAAGAUUGCUCUUUGUGUAUGAAUGUGAAGACAAAACACGGUUCGUUUGCGUCCCUGUUCUCUGCUCAUGUCCACGCGUUGAGUGAAAGUUUUGCAGGAAUUUCACUUUUAUUUCGGAGUAAGUCUGUUGUGCAUACACACCAUGCGUCAAAACUACUGAAUUUCUUGUGUUUUAAUUUCUUUAGCAUUCUUGUCUCUUUUAUGUAUAUUGCCAAAUAUUGGAGAAGACUAGUGUGUGCACAUCUGUGGAGCGACGGUAACACACGGAGCUCACACACAGAUCUCUGAGGACACUGCUUCGGCUCCGGUGUUGCUGCAUUCUGCGUGUAUCACAUCGAUAUUUGCAUGUUUUUAAAGCAAGUGCAACCCAAUAUGUUUCCGUUGUUUGUGUGGGUUUUAUUUAGUCUGUUUUUCUUUAAUGUCUGUACUCUGAAACUGUCUUAUAAUUGAGACUUGCUUUUGAGGUGUUUUUCUGCUUCACACUGACUGAUGCACAUUUUUAAUUAAAUAAGGGGAGGCAAAACGUCACACUGGUGUUGGGGUGAUUUUUAAUGUUAUUUUAUGUUGUUAUUUAUAAUUGUUUAAUUGCAGUGUUGCGCGUGUGUGUGUGUGUGUGAUAAUUCUUCUAUUUACUGUUUUCUAAAAAGCCACUACUGUCAGUCUCACCAGGAUUGAAAUUAUUCCGUUUGCAGUGGCUUUUCUCAAAAACUGUGAUGCAUUUGUGUGUGUUCUGUGAAAAAAAAAAAAAAAAAGAACAUACAGUACCAAUAGUUAUUUAAUUAGUGAGUAGGCCCUGCCUACAGUUGCCCAUAACUAUUUUAAUGCAUUCAUUUUCUGUAACAUCCAAGUAAGCACUUUUUAUUUUUUUUUUUAAUUUUUAAUUUGUUCUUUCCUUAUACGGACUUUAUGUUGAAGAUGUUUUUGCCAAGCUCUAAUCUGAUGUUGUGCGCAUGCGCAUCGUACCAGGGAUUUGGGAGAGUCAACCACGUCUUCAGCGCCAGAGAAUCUGAAUCAUUUUAGCCAAUCGGUUCGUUCGGACGGUUUGUUUCAAUGAACUGAUUCACAACCGAGUCAUCACUCUAAAGCCUUCCAAAUUUUCCGCGUGGAAUUUUAAUUUCGUUUAUGUCUUAAAAUUGUUGUUUAACAUUGAUUGUUUAUUAUUAGAUUAUAUAUCUGCGUCAAAUGUUGUAAACAAACCAUUAUUAUUAUUAUUAUCAUCAUCAUUCUCGAUAUUGUUAAAAGCAUUGUGAAUUCAAAAGCAUUCCUGAAGUUUCCGCAUGGAAUUGUACUUAGUUUUUGGCAUAAAAUCGUUGUUCAGCACUUUUUUGUAAAUUAUUAGAAAUCACAGCUGCGUCAAAUAUUGUAUUAAACUUUAUUAAUAAUAAUUUGACAUCAGUGAU